ACCUAAUACAGUGAAUUAUAAAAGCAAGAGGGAAUGAAUUCAAUUGAGCAGCACGAAAUUAUUUUAGCUUCUUAUUUUCUAAACUGAAACUGAAAUUUCAAAUAAUUUUAAACGAAAUUACUAUCAAGCUUUAUCCUUUCACUUUUAUUUCGACAAAGCGGUGUUUCACGAUGUAAUAUCCGCUGUUUAAUGUUUCAAAACAUGUUUUUAUUUACCACCAAAAUUUGAAAUCCUUAAUUGCCCACAAAAGAGUAUCACUGAGGAAUAAAUUCUAAGGAGUCACUGGCAUUUUUUUUAUCAAGCAGUUUGAUUUAUAAGAACUUAAAUGAAGUGAAAGCUGAAUGCCUCAUAUUUACUGUUCAUAUAACCUCACAUCAGCUCUGAUCGAGUAUACCUACGACUAAAUGCCUUCCAUCCGUGACAGUCUCAUCUUAUUUAUCUACGAUUACAUUAUCCGAUGUUUCCUUUUUAAGAGAAGUGUGAUUUAAUUAUAUUUGGCGUUUAAUUUGAAAUAAAGAUGGAAAACAUUCUUGAAGCAUAGGUGCCCUUAAUUAUGAACAUGACAAAAAAGGACCUUUGCUUACUUUUCUUGCAUGAGUUCAAGCUUGGGCACAAUGCCUCCCAAACUGCUGCCAAUAUCAACAGAGCAUGGGGAGAGGAGUCCACAAGUGAUCGUACAGUAUGAAGGUGGUUUCAAAAAUUCCAUAGUAGUGAUGACAGCCUUGAAGAAGAUAGAAGAUGGUCAUGCAGUUUUGACAAUGAACAAUUAAAAGCAAUUGUUGAACAAAACUUACAAUGUGUCAGAGAAAUAUCUCAGGCCUUUGGUGUCGGUAUUGCAAUGGUCUGAUGCAAUCUGCAGAAGAUUGGCAAGGUAAAAGCUCAAUAAAUGGGUACCACAUGAGCUCAAUGAAAAUCAAAAAGUUUUGCGUUUUGAAGGGUGCUCAAUGCUUUUUCUGCAAAACACUAAUGAUCUUUUUCUUGAUUGAAUAGUCACUUGUGACGAAAAGUGGAUCCUUUAUGAUAACCAUAAACAAUCAGGUCAAUGGCUUGAUUGUGAUGAGUCCCCCAAACAUUUUCCAAAGCCAAAGUUGCAUCAGCAAAAGAUUAUGGUGACUGCCUGGUGGUCUGCAAUUGGUGUUGUCCAUUACAGCUUUCUAGAAGCCAAUCAGAGAAUUACAGCAGAGGUUUACUGCAAUCAACCUGCUGAAAUGCAUAUUCACUUGCAAAAAAUAAGACCUGCAUUGGUGAAUUGGCAUGGCCCAAUUCUGCUCCACAAUAAUGCAAAGCCACAUGUUGCAAGAAUGACACUGCAGAAACUCACAGACUUGGGAUAUGAGACUUUACCACAUCCUCUUGAUCUUUCACCCACUGACUACCAUUUUUUAAGCAUUUAAACAUGUUUUUAAAUGAUAACACUUUCAGGUCCAAACCAAAGGUGGAAUCAACUUUCAAAGAUUUCUUAGCAUCUAAGCCAAUAAGUUUUUAUCAGCGAGGCAUAAAUAAUUCUCGUUGAAUUGUGGAAGAGAUGCAUAGAUGUUCACAGCUCAUACUUUGACUAAUCAAAACAUUUCUAUUGUUAAUUUUUCCAGAAUAAAAUUAUGUUUCUGAAAUCUGC